rnacentral:rRNA from 1 species
CUACGGGAGGCUCCAGUGGGGAAUAUUGCACAAUGGGCGCAAGCCUGAUGCAGCCAUGCCGCGUGUAUGAAGAAGGCCUUCGGGUUGUAAAGUACUUUCAGCGGGGAGGAAGGGGGUAAAGUUAAUACCUUUGCUCAUUGACGUUACCCGCAGAAGAAGCACCGGCUAACUCCGUGCCAGCAGCCGCGGUAAUACGGAGGGUGCAAGCGUUAAUCGGAAUUACUGGGCGUAAAGCGCACGCAGGCGGUUUGUUAAGUCAGAUGUGUAAUCCCCGGGCUCAACCUGGGAACUGCAUCUGAUACUGGCAAGCUUGAGUCUCGUAGAGGGGGGUAGAAUUCCAGGUGUAGCGGUGAAAUGCGUAGAGAUCUGGAGGAAUACCGGUGGCGAAGGCGGCCCCCUGGACGAAGACUGACGCUCAGGUGCGAAAGCGUGGGGAGCAAACAGGAUUAGAUACCCCAGUAGUC